AAGAUAUUAGUAAAAUAUAUUACAUCACUUUGUCAAGGUGAAAUUGCAAGUUAGAUUCUUGUGUAUCUUU
rnacentral:tRNA from 2 species